rnacentral:rRNA from 1 species
GAUGAACGCUAGCGGAGUGCAUAAUACAUGCAAGUCGAGCGAACAACAGAGGAAAAAAAUAAAAAGAAAUUACAGAAGAACAAGUAAGAAAACAGAGAAACAACCAAAAAUACGACUAGGAUAACUACGAACAACCGGAGCUAAUACCGGAUAAUAUAUUGAACCGCAUGGUUCAAUAGUGAAAGACGGUUUUGCUGUCACUUAUAGAUGGAUCCGCGCCGCAUUAGCUAGUUGGUAAGGUAACGGCUUACCAAGGCAACGAUGCGUAGCCGACCUGAGAGGGUGAUCGGCCACACUGGAACUGAGACACGGUCCAGACUCCUACGGGAGGCAGCAGUAGGGAAUCUUCCGCAAUGGGCGAAAGCCUGACGGAGCAACGCCGCGUGAGUGAUGAAGGUCUUCGGAUCGUAAAACUCUGUUAUUAGGGAAGAACAAAUGUGUAAGUAACUAUGCACGUCUUGACGGUACCUAAUCAGAAAGCCACGGCUAACUACGUG